rnacentral:rRNA from 1 species
CCUACGGGAGGCAGCAGUGGGGAAUUUUGGACAAUGGGCGCAAGCCUGAUCCAGCCAUGCCACGUGUGGGAAGAAGGCCUUCGGGUUGUAAACCACUUUUGUCAGGGAAGAAACGGUCUGAUCUAAUACAUUGGGCUAAUGACGGUACCUGAAGAAUAAGCACCGGCUAACUACGUGCCAGCAGCCGCGGUAAUACGUAGGGUGCAAGCGUUAAUCGGAAUUACUGGGCGUAAAGCGUGCGCAGGCGGCUUUGCAAGACAGAUGUGAAAUCCCCGGGCUCAACCUGGGAACUGCAUUUGUGACUGCAUGGCUAGAGUACGGUAGAGGGGGAUGGAAUUCCGCGUGUAGCAGUGAAAUGCGUAGAUAUGCGGAGGAACACCGAUGGCGAAGGCAAUCCCCUGGACCUGUACUGACGCUCAUGCACGAAAGCGUGGGGAGCAAACAGGAUUAGAUACCCUGGUAGUCCACGCCCUAAACGAUGUCAACUGGUUGUUGGACGGCUUGCUGUUCAGUACGAAGCUAACGCGUGAAGUUGACCGCCUGGGGAGUACGGCCGCAAGGUUGAAACGUCAAAGGAUUGACGG